rnacentral:rRNA from 1 species
AAAACAUACCCCCCUGAAGAAAUAUGGGGUUUUCCUGCCCAGUGGUCAAAGACUAAACGGCCGCGGUAUCUUGACCGUGCAAAGGUAGCAUAAUCACUUGUCUUUUAAAUGAAGACUUGUAUGAACGGAAUAACCUUUCUUAACUGUCUCCCUUGUUUUCCUCUAAAACUCCUAUUCAGGUGAAGAAUCCUGAAUAAUACAGAAAGACGAGAAGACCCUGUCGAGCUUCAGCUGAAUAGGAGUUUUAGUAUUACUUUAUCAUCCUCUUAUAGCUUUGGUUGGGGCAACCACGGAGAAAAAGAAUCCUCCGGGAAUCGUAGAAGACUAUACCCUUCUCCACAUACAAAAGAAGAACCAGAAUCUGGUAAACGGAAAAAGUUACCGCAGGGAUAACAGCGUUAUCUCCUCUAAGAGUCCAUAUUGACGAGGAGGCUUGCGACCUCGAUGUUGGAUUGGGGUAUCCCCAGGGUGCAGAAGCUCUGAAAGGUCGGACUGUUCGUCCGUUAAAACCCUACAUGAUCUGAGUC